rnacentral:rRNA from 1 species
UACGUAGGCAGCAAGCGUUGUUCGGAGUUAUUGGGUUUAAAGGGUGCGUAGGCGGCUUUAUAAGUCAGUGCUGAAAUAUCCCGGCUUAACCGGGAGGGUGGCAUUGAUACUGCAGAGCUUGAGUGAAGUCGAGGUAGGCGGAAUUGACGGUGUAGCGGUGAAAUGCUUAGAUAUCGUCAAGAACACCGAUAGUGAAGACAGCUUACUAGACUUCAACUGACGCUGAGGCACGAAAGUGUGGGGAUCAAACAGG